rnacentral:rRNA from 1 species
UACGUAGGGGGCAAGCGUUGUCCGGAAUCAUUGGGCGUAAAGAGCGUGUAGGCGGCUCGGUAAGUCCGCUGUGAAAGUCCGGGGCUCAACCUCGGAUCGGCCGUGGCGACUCGUGGGCUGGAGCACUGUAGAGGCGGGUGGAAUUCCGGGUGUAGCGGUGGAAUGCGUAGAGAUCCGGAAGAACACCAGUGGCGAAGGCGGCCCGCUGGGCAGUGGCUGACGCUGAGGCGCGACAGCGUGGGGAGCAAACAGG